CACCAUAAACUUUGUUCCAUAAUCUUAGACACCAUAACAUAGCUAAGGGUAGCAAUAUGGCUGACAACAAGACAAUGUCAGCUUCCACAUAGUUCUUAAUUCUUCUGUUUGCUGGAUGUUCACCACAAUACUCUGUGCAACACCCCAAUUGUUGAAAGGGUAAUACAGAAAUAGCGGCAUUAGACAGCACUCAUCUUCAGGACUUUCCAAGUUAGUUUAUGUCCUCAUAAGUAAGCAUCUCAGUUUCUUCGGCCAGCAUGGAUUUUGACCAAACAGAUUUAAUUGCAAAAAAAGGUAAGUAGGCAGGUAGGUCAGCCAGAGAGAUUGGUGUGUAGUCCCAAAUAUCAGGCGGCACAAAUACUCCAGUACGGUCUCUAUAAUCAUACAAACACAAGGAUCAGUACGACAUCAAUAAAUUAAUUAUCUAUGCUAAACUCAAAUAGGAUACUAAAUUUAAACUCUUAACUAGUGUAACAUGUACUUCUCUCAGUUUUGUUUAUGUCCUUUAUGUUUAUGUUUUUGUAUGGAUGAGAGAAGCACUCAUUCUAUAUAAAUACUUGUUGAGUACUAAAACAC